rnacentral:lncRNA from 1 species
GGUUGGGAUACAUCUUGAUUUUUUUUUAAAUUUCUAACAACAACCAAAAUCUUGAAUAAACAUAGGAAAUAUAUCUUUUCAUCAUGUUAAAGGCCUAGAAUGCAAUUGUGCACAUCUAGCGUGUUUCAAGAAACGGCUAUUUUUAUAUAUUUAUCAUACUUUACUACCCGAUUUGCCAGCUGUGAUAACGUGCUGAAAAUUAGUAAGAGAAAGACGUAAAAACUCUAAUAACAAACGUCACAAAAACUGUAAUAACUCUAAAAAUGAUGACUUUGCUGACCGAUAAAUUAUAAAUUUUAAUAAUAGAAAAUCCCGAUUAAAGCAAUCUAAGGCCCCCCAAUCUUCAAUCACACGUUACGGAAAAGACGGAC